GCAUCGAUGAAGAACGCAGCAAACUGCGAUAAGUAAUGUGAAUUGCAGAAUUUAGUGAAUCAUCGAAUCUUUGAACGCAAAUGGCGCUCUUGGGCAUUCCCAGGAGCACGUCUGUCUGAGCGUCGUUUCUCACAUCCCACCUCGAAGAGGUGGGGCCAUGAGGUGUCCCUUUGCUGCGAAGCGAACGGUCCCUUGAAGUAGAGCGAUCCCGAGUCGCGCGGAAGCCCCUCGUGGCCCGUGCCCCUCGGUGUGGUAGAAAUAUCUCACCGAGUGGCCGAGCUUCGCAGGGUGUCGGAAGCCCUCUCUGUGGGACGACUGGAAAGGGUUCGACUUCACCGUCGUUCGACCAACCAAGACCUCAGAUCAGGCGAGACUACCCGCUGAACUUAAGCAUAUCAAUAAGCGGAGGA
rnacentral:rRNA from 1 species